GAACGGUCCUAAGGUGAAAUUUUGUUGCCUUAGUAAAAUCCGACUAUAUGCUGGAAGUCUGGUAAGAAAAUAUAGCUAUGGUAUAAUAUUACCUUAGAUAUAUGACACACGAUUAUAAAUCUAAUCCAGAUAAUCAGCAGGAAAGACUAAAAACUAUAAACUUUCUAAGUUUUUAGGAUCCCCAGAGGCCAUACGUCGGAGUCGUUAAAAACGGCAAGAGAUGGUCCGAACUCUAUAGCGAUAUAGAG
rnacentral:ncRNA from 1 species